ACCCCACACCCUGCGGCGCUCGCGUCGCCUCAUCACGUAGGCAUUUUCUCAUCUCGUGGCAUCGUAAGAAGGGUGAGUCCAGUACAGUAAGAUAUUUUGAGAGACGAGAGAGAGAGACCACACUCCCAAAUUUCUAUUACGUGCGGGACAGAAUGGCAGAACUCGUGACUGAAUCGCGUAAAUCUUAACAUUCUAUGCUCAGAGAAGAGG